AACGAACGCUGGCGGCAUGCCUAAUACAUGCAAGUCGAACGAGAUCUUCGGAUCUAGUGGCGCACGGGUGCGUAACGCGUGGGAAUCUACCCUUGGGUUCGGAAUAACAGUUAGAAAUGACUGCUAAUACCGGAUGAUGACGUAAGUCCAAAGAUUUAUCGCCCAAGGAUGAGCCCGCGUAGGAUUAGCUAGUUGGUGAGGUAAAGGCUCACCAAGGCUACGAUCCUUAGCUGGUCUGAGAGGAUGAUCAGCCACACUGGGACUGAGACACGGCCCAGACUCCUACGGGAGGCAGCAGUAGGGAAUAUUGGACAAUGGGCGAAAGCCUGAUCCAGCAAUGCCGCGUGAGCGAUGAAGGCCUUAGGGUUGUAAAGCUCUUUUACCCGAGAUGAUAAUGACAGUAUCGGGAGAAUAAGCCCCGGCUAACUCCGUG
rnacentral:rRNA from 1 species